rnacentral:rRNA from 1 species
AAUGAACGCUGGCGGCAGGCCUAACACAUGCAAGUCGAACGCCCCGCAAGGGGAGUGGCAGACGGGUGAGUAACACGUGGGAACCUUCCCUAUAGUAUGGAAUAGCCCAGGGAAACUUGGAGUAAUACCGUAUACGCCCGAAAGGGGAAAGAAUUUCGCUAUAGGAUGGGCCCGCGUAGGAUUAGCUAGUUGGUGAGGUAAUGGCUCACCAAGGCGACGAUCCUUAGCUGGUUUGAGAGAACGACCAGCCACACUGGGACUGAGACACGGCCCAGACUCCUACGGGAGGCAGCAGUGGGGAAUAUUGGACAAUGGGCGCAAGCCUGAUCCAGCCAUGCCGCGUGAGUGAUGAAGGCCUUAGGGUUGUAAAGCUCUUUUGGCGGGGACGAUAAUGACGGUACCCGCAGAAUAAGUCCCGGCUAACUUCGUG